rnacentral:rRNA from 1 species
UACAGAGGGUGCAAGCGUUAAUCGGAAUUACUGGGCGUAAAGGGUGCGUAGGUGGUUUUAUAAGUUAGGUGUGAAAGCCCUGGGCUUAACCUGGGAAUUGCGCUUAAGACUGUAAAACUAGAGUACUGUAGAGGGAGGUGGAAUUUCCGGUGUAGCGGUGAAAUGCGUAGAUAUCGGAAGGAACACCAGUGGCGAAGGCGACUUCCUGGACAGAUACUGACACUGAGGCACGAAAGCGUGGGGAGCAAACAGG